rnacentral:rRNA from 1 species
UUCCGGUUGAUCCCGCCGGACCUGACUGCUAUCGGAUUGGUACUAAGCCAUGUGAGUCGUUGUAGCAAUACAAGGCAUACGGCUCAGUAACACGUAGUCAAUCUAACCUAUGGACGGGGAUAACCUCGGGAAACUGAGGAUAAACCCCGAUAGAUCAUUAUGCCUGGAACGGUUUAUGGUCUAAAUGAUUCGUCGCCGUAGGGUGGGACUGCGGCCUAUCAGCUUGUUGGUGAGGUAAUGGCCCACCAAGGCUAUUACAGGUACGGGCUCUGAGAGGAGAAGCCCGGAGAUGGGUACUGAGACACGGACCCAGGCCCUAUGGGGCGCAGCAGGCGAGAAACCUUUGCAAUGUGCGCAAGCACGACAAGGUUAAUCCGAGUGUUUCCUGCUAAAGGAAUCUUUUGUUAGUUGUAAAACCACUGAUGAAUAAGGGGUGGGCAAGUUCUGGUGUCAGCCGCCGCGGUAAAACCAGCACCUCAAGUGGUCAGGAUGAUUAUUGGGCCUAAAGCAUCCGUAGCCUGUUCUAUAAGUUUCCGGUUAAAUCCAUUAGCUCAACUAAUGGGCUGCCGAAAAUACUGUAGAACUAGGGAGUGGGAGAGGUAGACGGUACUCGGUAGGAAGGGGUAAAAUCCUUUGAUCUAUUGAUGACCACCUGUGGCGAAGGCGGUCUACCAGAACACGUUCGACGGUGAGGGAUGAAAGCUGGGGGAGCAAACCGGAUUAGAUACCCGGGUAGUCCCAGCUGUAAACGAUGCAGACUCGGUGAUGCCCUGGCUUGUGGCCAGUGCAGUGCCGCAGGGAAGCCGUUAAGUUUGCCGCCUGGGAAGUACGUACGCAAGUAUGAAACUUAAAGGAAUUGGCGGGGGAGCACCACAAGGGUGAAGCCUGCGGUUCAAUUGGGAUUCAACGCCGGA